GACAGAGGGUGCAAACGUUGUUCGGAAUUACUGGGCGUAAAGCGCGUGUAGGCGGCCAGGUAGGUCGGUUGUGAAAAUUGGAGGCUCAACCUCCAGACGUCGAUCGAAACCAUCUGGCUAGAGUCCGGAAGAGGAGACUGGAAUUCCUGGUGUAGCAGUGAAAUGCGUAGAUAUCAGGAGGAAUACCGAUGGCGAAGGCAGGUCUCUGGGCUGACACUGACGCUCAUGCACGAAAGCGUGGGGAGCAAACAGG
rnacentral:rRNA from 1 species